CUGCAGUCGAGCGAUGAUUGCGGGGUAGCAAUAUUCCGUAAUUGGAGCGGCGCAAGGGUGCGUAACACGUGGGUAAUCUGCCGUGAAGUCUGGAAUAACCUGCUGAAAGGCAAGCUAAUACCGGAUGUGAAAAUUGGAAGGCAUCUUUUGAUUUUCAAAGUUGGGGACCGCAAGGCCUGACGCUUCACGAUGAGCCCGCGGUCUAUCAGCUAGUUGGUGAGGUAACGGCUCACCAAGGCUAAGACGGGUAGCUGGUCUGAGAGGACGACCAGCCACACUGGAACUGAGACACGGUCCAGACACCUACGGGUGGCAGCAGUCGAGAAUUUUUCACAAUGGGCGAAAGCCUGAUGGAGCGACGCCGCGUGGGGGAUGAAUGGCUUCGGCCCGUAAACCCCUGUCAUUCGCGAACAAUGCCUGCGGCUUAAUACGUUGCAGGUUGAUAGUAGCGGAAGAGGAAGGGACGGCUAACUCUGUGCCAGCAGCCGCGGUAAUACAGAGGUCCCAAGCGUUGUUCGGAUUCACUGGGCGUAAAGGGUGCGUAGGUGGUCGGGUAAGUCUGAUGUGAAAUCUCGGAGCCUAACUCCGAAACUGCAUUGGAUACUAUUCGGCUGGAGGGUUGGAGGGGGGACUGGAAUUCUCGGUGUAGCAGUGAAAUGCGUAGAUAUCGAGAGGAACACCAGUGGCGAAGGCGAGUCCCUGGACAACUCCUGACACUAAGGCACGAAAGCUAGGGGAGCAAACAGGAUUAGAUACCCUGGUAGUCCUAGCCGUAAACGGUGCACGUUUGCUGUAAAAGGAAUCGACCCCUUUUGUGGCGUAGCCAACGCGUUAAACGUGCCGCCUGGGAAGUACGGUCGCAAGAUUAAAACUCAAAGAAAUUGACGGGGGCCUGCACAAGCGGUGGAGUAUGUGGCUCAAUUCGAUGCAACGCGAAGAACCUUACCUGGCCUUGACAUGUAGUAGUAGAAGGAUGAAAGUCCGACGAUCCCGCAAGGGAAGCUUACACAGGGUGCUGCAUGGCUGUCGUCAGCUCGUGUCGUGAGGAUGUGGGGUUAGUCCCGCACGAGCGC
rnacentral:rRNA from 1 species